UAGGGAAUCUUCGGCAAUGGACGGAAGUCUGACCGAGCAACGCCGCGUGAGUGAAGAAGGUUUUCGGAUCGUAAAGCUCUGUUGUUAGAGAAGAACGUUGGUAGGAGUGGAAAAUCUACCAAGUGACGGUAACUAACCAGAAAGGGACGGCUAACUACGUGCCAGCAGCCGCGGUAAUACGUAGGUCCCGAUCGUUGUCCGGAUUUAUUGGGCGUAAAGCGAGCGCAGACGGUUCUUUAAGUCUGAAGUUAAAGGCAGUGGCUUAACCAUUGUACGCUUUGGAAACUGGAGGACUUGAGUGCAGAAGGGGAGAGUGGAAUUCAAUGUGUAGCGGUGAAAUGCGUAGAUAUAUGGAGGAACACCGGUGGCGAAAGCGGCUCACUGGUCUGUAACUGACGCUGAGGCUCGAAAGCGUGGGGAGCAAACAGG
rnacentral:rRNA from 1 species